UACGUAGGGUGCAAGCGUUGUCCGGAAUUAUUGGGCGUAAAGAGCUCGUAGGCGGUCUGUCGCGUCGAAUGUGAAAACCCGGGGCUCAACCCCGGGCCUGCAUUCGAUACGGGCAGACUAGAGUUCGGUAGGGGAGUCUGGAAUUCCUGGUGUAGCGGUGAAAUGCGCAGAUAUCAGGAGGAACACCGGUGGCGAAGGCGGGUCUCUGGGCCGUAACUGACGCUGAGGAGCGAAAGCCAGGGGAGCAAACGGG
rnacentral:rRNA from 1 species